rnacentral:rRNA from 1 species
AUGGAACAUAGCAAAGCUCCAGGCCCCGAUGGUUCCCCCUUGGAGUUCUAUCAGAACUUCUUGGAUGUCAUCAAGACUGACCUAAUGGAGUUGUUCAAUUUUUUUCAUGUCGACCAACUAGACCUAUCCAGGCUUAAUUUUGGCUAGAUUGUUUUAUUGCCAAAGACUAAGGAGGCCGAACGGAUUCAACAGUUCAGAACAAUCUGCCUCCUUAAUACCAGCUUCAGUAUUUUCACCAAAGUGGCGACUAAUAGGCUCAACACGGUUGCUGAUCAUGUUGUUCAACCAUCGCAAAAGGCUUUCAUGCAAGGACGAAAUAUACUCGAUGGAGUAGUAAUCCUUCACGAGACCGUUCACGAGAUGCACUGGAAGAACAUGGUGGAGUAG